AUAGCGUAUAUUAAAGUUGUUGCAGUUAAAAAGCUCGUAGUUGAACUUCAGACCUGGCUGGAUGGUCUGCCUAACGGUAUGUACUGUCCGGCUGGGCCUUACCUCUUGGUGAGCCGGCAUGCCCUUCACUGGGUGUGUCGGGGAACCAGGACUUUUACCUUGAGAAAAUUAGAGUGUUCAAAGCAGGCUUAUGCUCGAAUACAUUAGCAUGGAAUAAUAAAAUAGGACGUGCGGUUCUAUUUUGUUGGUUUCUAGAGUCGCCGUAAUGAUUAAUAGGGAUAGUUGGGGGCAUUGGUAUUGAGUCGCUAGAGGUGAAAUUCUUGGAUUGACUCAAGACCAACUAUUG
rnacentral:rRNA from 1 species